UGUUCGAUGGCUGAGUUGGUCAAGCGGUAGACUGUAGAUCUAUUUACGGAGUUAAAUCUCCUCAACAA
rnacentral:tRNA from 1 species